GAACGCAGCCAAAACGAGCAGAAGAAACUAAUCCAGGCAGUGCAGGAAGGAGGGAUCAGAUGACAAGGGGAUUCCAGUACGUCUGCCCCGGAGGGGAGCAGAAGAGUCCCUGCAGCAGAGCCUGUGCUUCAGUUCCUCCGGAAAGGCUGGACUUGCAGCAUUUGCAGUGUCAUGUUAAAACGUUGCAAGCGUUGCAGUUGACAAAAAAGCAUUGCCCCAAGAGGCAGAGCACCGUCUCCCAGAUAAAAUACAGUAACUCGAUCCAGCAUCCCUGUGGGUAUGCCACAUCAGCAGGCAUGGACGUACUGGGUACUCCCAGGUUAACGUGUUUGUGGAAGGCAACUGAUGUAUAUAGCGAAAAGACCAGGUAAUAUGUCUGGUUAGAUGAAAGACCCAAGCAGUAGGCAUGGAAAUCGUAUCCCACUGACGCGGCACCAUUUGUCACUAGGUGCUGCU